rnacentral:rRNA from 1 species
AGAGUUUGAUCAUGGCUCAGAUUGAACGCUGGCGGCAUGCCUUACACAUGCAAGUCGAACGGCAGCACGGGUGCUUGCACCUGGUGGCGAGUGGCGAACGGGUGAGUAAUACAUCGGAACGUACCUUAUCGUGGGGGAUAACGCAGCGAAAGCUGUGCUAAUACCGCAUACGCCCUGAGGGGGAAAGCGGGGGAUCGCAAGACCUCGCGCGAUUAGAGCGGCCGAUGCCUGAUUAGCUAGUUGGUGGGGUAAAAGCCCACCAAGGCGACGAUCAGUAGCUGGUCUGAGAGGACGAUCAGCCACACUGGGACUGAGACACGGCCCAGACUCCUACGGGAGGCAGCAGUGGGGAAUUUUGGACAAUGGGGGCAACCCUGAUCCAGCAAUGCCGCGUGAGUGAAGAAGGCCUUCGGGUUGUAAAGCUCUUUUGUCAGGGAAGAAACACCGGCUCUAACACAGUCCGGGAAUGACGGUACCUGAAGAAUAAGCACCGGCUAACUACGUGCCAGCAGCCGCGGUAAU